AAUUCAAAUAGUAAAAUUCUUAAUUAAAAAAGUGGUGAGUUUAAAGGGGGAGUUGCAAAGGGGGCAAAGACUGCGAUAAGUCUAUGAAAAGGACAAGUCCAUCACGUGUAACACGCAUCACUAUAUUGACAGUCUUACUGUUUUCACACGUUCACGUGUAACACGACACGUGGCCCACGUUCAUUGAAACAAAUAAUUUUGGUACACCAGAGGAAAUUAUUUUGUAAAAGUCCGCAUUUAUUGUUGCAUUGUUGUCUUUGUAAAAGUCCGCAUUUAUUGUUGCAUUGUUGUCUUUGAACUUUUGUCCAUUCUGCAAUAGUAUUUCGUACAUAGAAAGUUAAUCUAGCCAAGGACAUGUCUGAAGUUGAAUGAAAGUUAAUCUACUUUUUUCCAUUCUGCAAUAAUAACAUGUGCCGUGGCCUUGGACCUACGCCAUGGUUAGCAACACAAGCCCUCCAUUUCGUCGGAGAUGGGGUACAAGUUGAAUUCUCCUCAGUUAAUCUCUUCCUACUCAGUAGUAUUUGGAUAGAGCUACAUACAAAUAUUUCCAUGGACGGACCCAAUGAAGGCCCAAGAGGGGCUUCAGCCCUCCCUGGGCCGUUAAAUUUUCUUUUAAAUGUACCCCAAGUCCCUUCUGAAAAAGUUAGAUAAAUAAAUUUGGACACAUUUUUUAUAUAUCAAAAGACUUGUAGUUUAAUGGUAAGAGUGUUAUUUAAUGGUUUUAAAACCUUGGUUCAAAUCCCAUUAGCCACAUUAUUU
rnacentral:lncRNA from 1 species